rnacentral:rRNA from 1 species
CAGUAGCCGCGGGAACACAGAGGGUGCAAGCGUUAAUCGGAAUUACUGGGCGUAAAGCGCGCGUAGGUGGUUUGUUAAGUUGGAUGUGAAAGCCCCGGGCUCAACCUGGGAACUGCAUCCAAAACUGGCAAGCUAGAGUACGGUAGAGGGUGGUGGAAUUUCCUGUGUAGCGGUGAAAUGCGUAGAUAUAGGAAGGAACACCAGUGGCGAAGGCGACCACCUGGACUGAUACUGACACUGAGGUGCGAAAGCGUGGGGAGCAAACAGGAUUAGAUACCCGAGUAGUCCCUGUCUCUUAUAC